rnacentral:lncRNA from 1 species
AAUAUAAAUGUGUGAUUGGUUAAAUAAUGGAGUAAAAAGUGGGAAAGAAAAGUGAAAAUAUGAUGAAAAGAAAACUAUAUCGCAAAAUCAAGUAUUGAGUCAUUUUUGGCAAUUAUUCUUAAAAAAGGCUAGCAAAAAUUCACAAUUCUUUAAUUCAUUAGAAAGAUGACGGAUGUAUCUCUCUACAAAACACAACAACAUCUUCAAGGGGUAUUAGGAACAUCAAUUAAACAUUUUCUGUUUUCAAACACUUUCUUAGCACAGUCAGCAAGCCACAUAUAUGGUGUGUAACUGUCCGUAUAUAUAACAUUGCAUGAAAACCACAUGCGGCACUAAAUUAUACAAUAUAUGUGUUAUUUUAAACUAUGAUUUGAAUUGAAAAAAUAUGCACCAAACAUGUCAUCUUUUCCAAAAUUUCAAUUCAAUCGCUUUGUAUCAAACAUUAUCAUAUGAAUAUGUGACUAUUUUAUAUUUUCGUUGAAAAAUUUAACAUAUGCAUUAUAAUAAAGUAGUAU